UUGCAUCCGCGUCAUUGGUGCGUCACUUCCGGCUCCCCGGUUGUUUAGCCGACAGGGUGAUUGUUUGCAUGCUGCUCUGGGCAACUCAUGUGCGGCGGUGCCUUCUGUUUGGUGAAUGCCAGCAGCGGCCGGUGUCCUCUCUCCCUCCCUCCUCCUUGAGAGUAUGUGUGUGUCCCUAACAGGUAUGUGUGUAUUAGUAUGGUCAACUACAGUAUUAUAAUAUCAAGCCGUAAUGCUAACAGUAUCUCUUUCUAAUUAGGAGUGUGCAAUUAGCUGGUGGUUGCUGCUGCUUUGUCUCCGCUUUGUCUCCGCGGUUGUCUCCGCGGCUGUCUCCGCGGCCGCUCUGUCUUUAUUAAAGACUGUCCAUACUAAAGACGUUGUCUCCACUAAAACUGUCAUCUGUAAUCACCCUGCUGGAGCUCGUUCCUGGGCUGCUAAAUGCGCAACCGCGCUCAAUAGAUCUGGUGUAUUGCAGCCGAGCUGCUGCCCGCUGUUGACGGCCCACACCGUGCCCCCAGAACACUGAUUCGGACUUUGAUCCAGACCCGGAAUGAGUGUUUUAUUAUAAGUGUUUAUUUUAGGAUUAU